rnacentral:misc_RNA from 1 species
CUAAGGAAACAAUUAUCAUCUUCAGUUUUGAGAGACUUAAGAAAGUUUUUCAUUUUAACUUGCUUGCAAAUUGUAUUUUCAACAUUUUAAUCUUUUUAAGAUUAAGGGCCUAUAGCUCAGUUGGUUAGAGCACAUGCCUGAUAAGCGUGAGGUCGGUGGUUCAAGUCCAUUUAGGCCCACCAUAACCACAAAUAAGGCAAAAUCUUAAAAAAGCUCUUUGAAAAGUAGAUAAACGAAGGUUAAAAA